rnacentral:rRNA from 1 species
AUUGAACGCUGGCGGCAGGCUUAACACAUGCAAGUCGAACGAGUGGCGGACGGGUGAGUACUGCUUGGGCAUCCUGCUUAUGGAGGGGGAUAACUACGGGAAACUGUAUCUAAUACCGCGUACCAUAGGAUGAGCCCAAGGGGGAUUAGGUAGUUGGUGAGGUAAAGGCUCACCAAGCCGACGAUCUCUCGCUGGUCGUAGAGGAUGACGAGCCACACUGGGAGUGAGACACGGCCCAGACUCCUACGGGAGGACGCAGUGGGGAAUAUUGCGCAAUGGGGGCAACCUGACGCAGCCAUGCCGCGUGAAUGAAGAAGGCCUUCGGGUUGUAAAGUUCUUUCGGUAGCGAGGCGUUAACUACAGAAGAAGCACCGGCUAACUCCGUGCCAGCAGCCGCGGUAAUUC